UCUUAUACUAGCUUAUAUAUCUUUCAAUUUAAAUGCACAACUUGCUUUUCGCAAUUUUAUUUUUCAGCAUCACAUUUGCCUACCAAACAGUUUGACAAGCACUGCAGUUGCGUGGCUCCCUCUCUUUCUCAUUCUUUCAUUCACUUUGCUGCCGUUGUUGUUGCUUUAUUUUUAUUUUCUAUGCAAAUUUAAUUAAAUGGACGUAUUUGCCAUUGCUGACGUUUAGUUUGUAAACCGAGCUGCAGCAUAAGCAAGAGCGAGACAGAAAUAACAUAUUGUGGAGCAGUGGCGAGUUAAUUAAGUUGAGCCAAAGCUGCGUACGUUGUAGAGGAGGAGGUGUGGAGAAGAGAAGAGGGGCAACAGAAAAAAAGGCAAAAGGGUUAACCAGCUGAACUCAAACAGUUGUCAGCUUUGCAUUAAAUUGAAUUAUGAUGGCAAGUGCAGAGCACCCUGUAUGUUUGUCUCUUCAGCUUGGACUCUCUGCACGUCUGUUCCUCUCGCUCUUCCUCUUCAUCUCUGUCUGCCGCUCUGUCAAUGGUAAAGUAAGAGCGCUGCACCAAAACGGAUGAACGGAUUGAUGGAGCUGCAAGCGGUUCCAGUGAAGAGCGGAAAGCGGAGAGAUCUGCUUGCUGUCAGGCAAAACCAACAAACGGAAUGCUUGAGCUUUGCAAGAGCGGCGACUCAAGAGAGAGAGAGAGAGAGAGCGAGAGAGCAAGAGCAGCUACGCCCUUUGCUAGCCGGAUUUCCACUUCAAAUAAAUCAAAGGCGAUGCUCGACUUGCAGGUAUGCGAGCAGUUCAUACUGUGCAUUAGACGGCAAGCAAAUGCGGAAACUGGCUUUGGUUUCAUCAUUUAAACUUGAUUUAGCAAGUUCUCGAUCUGUUUUUGGGGUAUAGAAUCUUCUGAUUUAUCUGCUUACUGCUUCUUCUUCUACACACAGCUGCUGCCACAUCCUUUGUCCGCUAAGCCAUUGUCUACGUUUUAUAUUUAACAAAAAAAUAUAUUGCCGAUCAAAAAAUGAGGCGUUGACAAUGCAAACAAUAAACACAAAAGACGUUCACAGGCUGUGAGACGACAAAUAAAGAGGACAAUUAUUACAGCAAUGAGUUAUUGAGUUAAACAACUAUUAUACUUAAAACAUUACUUUACUAAACUCCUUAAAAUUGUGAAAUUAAAAU